rnacentral:tRNA from 1 species
ACCCAUCUGUCUCAUUGGUGGAGUGUGAGACUCUUAACCUUGGGGUUGUAGGUUCAAGCCCCAUGCUGGGUG